GUUCCUUUGAUUCGGGCGUACGUUUUGGAAUGCGUGAUUCGUGCGACGGCAACAGCAUUUGCAUUUAAAUGCCUUUGACAGUAAACGCGAUUACCAUAGCGAUUUCUCGCUGGUGGCGAACAGAAGAAGGCAGAUUUGAGUUAACCCUCCGAAGCAAGCCCCGGAUAGACCCUUCGCUCAGGCAAUGACGUUCUCCCCCUCUUUUUUUUACCGACUUCAAGAGAACACACUGUGUGGCUUGAAUAAAAGCUAAAAUUCACAAAUUUGAAAACGGAGGACCCAGGAUCAUUCAAGCUCCCCCCUUUCUGGGGCCUUCAGUGGUUUUCUCGUAAUUUCCCGGCUUAGCUGCUCAUUUCCCCCAGCUGCGUCGCCACGGUCCGCCAUUCUGCCUCCACGGUCCACCAUUCUGGCUCCGCGGU